UUACUUACAUGGUAGGGGAAUACCGUGAUCGCAAAGGUUGUUUUCCCAGGGGAGACUCACCCAUUGCAUUCUGGGUGAGCUAACCCCUGUGUUUUCCCCAAGUGUGGGAAAUUCAACUGCAGAAUUUGUGGUAGUGGGGGGCUGCGUUUGUGCUUUCCCCCC